AUGGCCGGCGGCUCCUCCUCCCCCUCGCCGGCCUCCGCGCUCAUCCAGGUGCGCUGCGCGGGCUGCCGCGGCGUCCUCGCCGUCGCCCCCGGCAUGACGGAGUUCAUCUGCCCCAAGUGCCAGAUGGCGCAGCGGCUGCCCCCGCAGCUCAUGCCCAAUCCCUCCUCCUCCCCGCCCUCCCCGCCCAAAUCCUCCGCCGCCCCCGCCCUCCCCGCUCCGCCGCAGCCCCGGAAGCGGGCGUCGCAGGCGUCACAGACGUCGCAGGCGCACGGGGUGGACCCCACGAAGAUCCAGCUCCCCUGCGUCCGCUGCCAGGCCGUCCUCAACGUGCCCCACGGCCUAGCCAACUUCCGCUGCCCGCAGUGCGGGGUCGACCUCGCCGUGGACCUCUCCAAGCUCCAGAACUUCCUCACCGCCGCCAGCAACGGCGCGCCCCCAGCGUCAGUCCCUGUGCCCCCGACGUUCCUCCCGGUGUUGCCGCCAGGCACGCCGCAGCUGCCACAGCUGGUUGCUGUCACGACAACAGUCCCUAUUGGGCUGCCCACCACAGAGCCACCCGAGGAGAUCAAUGAGGUUGCAAUUGAUGUUGAGCGCGAUGAAGAUGAAGGUGGUACCGUCGGCGAAACUUUCACUGACUAUAGGCCUCCCAAACUAUCUCUUGGUCUGCCUCAUCCGGAUCCGGUAGUAGAGACUUCUUCGCUGUCAGCUGUACAGCCUCCUGAACCGACUUAUGAGUUGAACAUCAUGGAUGAGUUGGAUCAAACUAAGACAUUAUCUUGCUUACAAAUCGAGACAAUAGUAUAUGCUUGUCAGCGGCACCUUCAUCAUCUCCCUACUGGUGAUAGAGCAGGUUUUUUUGUUGGUGAUGGUGCUGGUGUUGGUAAGGGCCGGACAAUUGCUGGAUUAAUCUGGGAAAAUUGGCAACAGGGAAGGCAUAAGGCAGUGUGGGUAUCGGUUGGUUCUGACUUGAAGUAUGAUGCUCGAAGAGAUUUAGAUGAUGUUGGUGCAAAAUGCGUGCAAGUGCAUCCUUUAAAUAAGCUACCAUAUUCUAAGCUAGACUCGAAGGCCAUUGGGAUAAAGAAUGGCGUAAUUUUUGUAACUUACAGCAGCUUGAUAGCAUCAUCCGAGAGAGGCCGUUCUCGUUUGCAGCAACUAGUCCAAUGGUGUGGACAUGAGUUUGAUGGUCUCAUAGUGUUCGAUGAGUGCCACAAGGCCAAAAAUCUGAUUCCUGAUGCAGGGAGCCAGCCCACCCGCACUGGUAAAGCAGUUCUUGAGAUCCAGGAAAAGUUACCUGAGGCCCGUGUUGUUUACUGCUCAGCAACUGGUGCAUCAGAACCACGGAAUUUGGGCUAUAUGGUUCGACUCGGACUCUGGGGGGACGGAACAUCAUUUCAGGAUUUUCCGCAAUUUUUAGGUGCUCUUGAAAAAGGUGGUGUGGGUGCUCUUGAACUUGUUGCCAUGGACAUGAAAGCUAGGGGUAUGUAUGUUUGUCGUACACUAAGUUAUAAGGGGGCAGAUUUUGAUACUGUGGAGGCUCCUCUUGAGGAAAGAAUGACGAAUAUGUACGGAAAGGCAGCUGAAUUCUGGGCGGACUUGCGCCUUGAGCUCCUGUCAGCAGGUGAAAUCUCUGGAGAAGAGAAAGGUGUUUCAAAUCAAAUAUGGCGGCUAUAUUGGUCCAGUCAUCAGCGUUUCUUCAGGCAUAUGUGCAUGUCUGCAAAGGUCCCUGCUGUUGUGAAGUUGGCUAAGGAGGCUUUGGCUGAGAACAAAUGUGUGGUGAUUGGUCUUCAGAGUACUGGAGAGGCUCGAACAGAGGAAGCUGUCACAAAAUAUGGUGUUGAAAUGGAAGACUUUGUUUCUGGUCCCCGGGAGCUUCUUCUGAAGCUGGUUGAAGAAAAUUACCCUUUACCUCCAAAACCUGAUACUUUUCAGCAAGGUGAAGAAAAAGUCACAGAGAUCCAGCGUAAGCGGCAUUCUGCACAAGAUGUAUCUUUUAAAGGGCGAGUUAGGAAAGUAGCAAAGAUGGAAGAUGUGAGCGAUGAUGAUAGUGGUGACUAUUCUCCAUCUGAGUCAUCAGACCAUGAAUCAUCAGAAUCGGAUGAGGAGUUCCACAUGUGUCAAAUCUGCAACUCAGAGGAGGAGAAGAGUCUAUUGCUCAAUUGCUCUGGUUGUUCUCUACGUGUUCAUCCUAGCUGUCUGACACCACCUUGGACUGGUAUGUUGACUGAUGAUUGGUCAUGCUACUCAUGUAAGAAGAUAGAAGGCCAGGAAAUGGAGCAUGAUGCUAAUGUAGCUGAUUUUUCAAAGAGGUAUGACUCCGCAGUAGAGAGAAAGUUGAAGAUUUUGGAUGUCAUACGUUCCUUGGAUCUCCCUAAUAAUCCUCUGGAUGAUAUCAUUGAUCAGCUAGGGGGGCCUGACAAGGUCGCAGAAAUAACUGGACGACGUGGUAUGCUAAUAAGAGCUUCAGAUGGAAAAGGCAUUAUUUAUCAGGCGCGGAACGCGAAAGAAGUCUCAAUGGAGAUGAUCAAUAUGCAUGAAAAGCAGCAGUUCAUGGAUGACAAAAAACUAAUUGCAAUUAUAUCUGAAGCAGGAUCAGCUGGUGUUUCCCUACAUGCUGACAGAAGGGCAAAAAACCAGAGAAGGAGAGUACAUGUAACACUAGAACUCCCCUGGAGUGCAGACCGUGCAAUACAGCAGUUUGGGAGAACACAUCGCUCUAAUCAAACAUCUGCACCGCAAUAUAGGCUUCUUUUUACAAAUCUUGGUGGUGAAAAGCGAUUUGCAUCAAUUGUGGCAAAAAGACUCGAGUCUCUUGGAGCUUUAACACAAGGCGAUCGCAGGGCUGGACCUUCUCUAAGUGCUUUCAACUACGAUAGCACUUAUGGGAAAAGGGCGCUAACCAUGGUGUAUAGGGGAAUAAUGGAGCAGGAUUCCUUUCCAGUUGUUCCUCCGAGGUGUUCUGACAACCAGGCCAGCAUCGAAGAAUUCAUUACUGAGGCAAAGGUUGCUCUAGUAUCAGUUGGAAUUAUAAGGGAUGCCACAGUAUGCAAUGGUAAAGUUGCAGGGAAGCUUUCUGGUCGUAUUGUUGAUGCAGAUAUGCAUGACGUUGCUCGCUUCCUUAACCGCCUUCUGGGAUUGGCUCCUGACAUCCAGAAUAGGUUGUUUGAUCUUUUUAUAAGCAUACUUGAUGUUGUCCUUCACAAUGCACGAAGAGAAGGGCAGCUGGAUUCUGGAAUUGUUGAUAUUAAGGGUAAGAAUAUUGAAUUGAAAGAGCCGCCAAAGACCGUUCAUGUUGAUAGCUUGUCUGGUGCUUCAACAAUACUGUUUACUUUCACCAUUGAUAGGGGAGUUACCUGGGAGUCGGCAAAGGCAAUGCUUGAUGGAAGAGAGAAUGAUGGUGCUGGUUCUUCUAAUGAUGGGUUUUAUGAGUCCAAAAGGGAAUGGAUGGGGAGAAGACACUUCACUCUAGCUCUUGAAGGCUCAACUGAAGGAAUAUACAAGAUAAUUCGACCUGCUAUUGGUGAAGCAUUAAGGGAGAUGCCUUUGAGUGAACUGAAGGGCAAGUACAGGAAGGUGUCAUCAAUAGACAAAGUUAGCAAAGGUUGGCAGGAUGAAUAUGAUGUUUCAUCGAAACAGUGUAUGCAUGGAUCCAAAUGCAAAGUUGGGAGCUACUGUACAGUAGGAAGAAGGCUGCAGGAGUUUAACAUUUUGGGUGGUCUGAUACUUCCAGUGUGGGGCACAAUUGAGAAGGCCCUAGCUAAACAGGUUUAUCAAAAUCACAAAAGAAUACGUGUUGUCCGUUUAGUGACAACGAAUGACAAUCAGCGGAUUGUUGGACUAUUCAUUCCGAAUGCAGCAGUGGAGUCAGUACUAACAGGCUUGCAAUGGGUCCAAGAUAUUAAUGAUUGA
rnacentral:rRNA from 1 species